GACACCCUCCCUUCACCACGUGCAAAAGCCCCGCCCCUCCUCAGUUGGAGUGAGUGGUCUGUGCUGGCUGGCAUUCCAUCUUUUCCUUGAUUCAAGGGGGUUCGUGGGAUGUUGGAUCUAUCCAGCCCCUGUGGAUGCUGCCUGUGGAGAGGAAACAUUAGAUAAGUAUUUAAUAGGCCGUGCUCCUCAGAGUGGGGGCAACGAUAUUAAUGAUGCUGGGAAGCUAAAUGUAAACACUGAAAAAAAAAAAACAACUUAAGGCUGCACAUACUGUAUUAGAGUGGCAGUCAAGUGAGAACGAGAACACUCUAAAUAAACAAAACUGUUCAAAAUAUGCUAUAACGUGUUCACAAAAGUUGAAAUGUUCUGCAGACAAGUCCUAGUAAUUGUUGUUUGAUUAGGAAAAUAAAAUUUAGGAUCAAAUCUAGUAGAUUUUUAACCCUUUCACACCAGAGCUCCAGUGUUUAUGUUCUUUGAAUUUACGAUAACUUUUCAAUUUUAACACGGUCAACGUAAUUCUUGAGCUGCUUUUUUCCUUCAGAAUGUGCUGGAAUUAUUGUGUUAAUGGUUGAAAAGUUUCUGUUUGUUAAAGAUUUUGUGUUUUAGUGUCACUGGCGACACUUCAGGUGUUAAAGGAUUAAUACAAGAAGGUCCUCAUCUGCCAGGUGUGGUGGUACUAUCAUGGUUUGGUCUUGUUGUAUGAGAAACAGAGGGCUUUCAAUAAGAAAUACAAUAUUCCAAAAAAAUAAAAAUAAAAAA